GACGAACGCUGGCGGCGUGCUUAACACAUGCAAGUCGAACGGAAAGGCCUGCUUUCCCUUGUGGAUUGCGGGUACUCGAGUGGCGAACGGGUGAGUAACACGUGAGUGAUCUGCCCCCAACUUGGGUAUAAGCCUGGGAAACUGGGUCUAAUUCCCGAUAGUACUGCAGGGUGGUGCCUGUGGUGGAAAACGAUUCUCUAGUGGUUGGGGAUGAGCUCGCGGCCUAUCAGCUUGUUGGUGGGGUAAUGGCCUACCAAGGCGGCGACGGGUCGCCGGCCUGAGAGGGUGGACGGCCACAGUGGGAAUGAGAUACGGCCCAGACUCCUACGAGAGGCAGCAGUUAGGAAUAUGGAACAAUGGAAGGAAGCCUGAUGCAGCGACGCAGCGUGGGGGGUGACGGCGUACGGGUUGUAAACACCUUUCGACAGCGAGGAAGCCACCUGGUUGGAAGGGUUGAGACGGUAGUGAAAGAAGAAGCACCGGCUAAGUACGUG
rnacentral:rRNA from 1 species